rnacentral:ncRNA from 1 species
AAACAGAUAGGUUUGGUCCUGGCCUUUUUUAUUAGCUCUUAGUAAGAUUACACAUGCAAGUAUCCCCACCCCAGUGAAAAUGCCCUCUAGAUCACCCGGAUUCAAAGGAGCAGGUAUCAAGCACACACGAAUGCAGCUUAAAACACUUUGCUCAACCACACUCCUACGGGAAACAGCAGUGAUAAAUCUUUAGUAAUAAACAAAAGCUUGACUAAGCUAUACUAAUAUUCAGGGUUGGUUAACUUCGUGCCAGCCACCAUGGCCAUAUGAUUAACCUGAGCUAAUAGAACUCAUCAUAAAGAAUAUUUAAGGUCUAUCCUCAAUAAAGCUAAGUUGUAAAAAACUCCAUCUAAGUUGUAAAAAACUCCAGCUGAAACCAAAUAUACUACAAAGUGGCUUUAAUACCCUGAAGACACAAUAGCUAAGAUCCAAACUGGGAAUAGAUACCCCACUAUGCUUAGCUCUAAAGUCAAAUAGUUACAUUAACAAAACCAUUCGCCAGAGUACUACAAGAAACAGCUUAAAACUCAAAGGACUUGGUGGUGCUUUACAUCCCUCUAGACGAGCCUGUUCUAUAAUCUAUAAACCCCUAUAAACCUUACCACCUCUUGCCCCCAGCCUAUAUACCGCCAUAUUCAGCAAACCCUAAAAAGGUUAUAGAGUAAGCAUAAGUAUACACAUAAAAAUGUUAAGUCAAGAUGUAACCCAUGAGGUGACAAGAAAUGGGCUACAUUUUCUAUGUCCAGAAAAAUCUUACAAAAACGUUUGUGAGAUCUAAGGGCUCAAGGAGGAUUUAGCAGUACACCAAGAGCAGAGUGCUUGGUUGAAUAAGGCCAUGAAACACGCACACACAGCCUAUCACCCUCCUCAAAUAUUACUCUAGAAAUCACUAUUACUGAUAAUUUUCUACACACCUAUAGAGGAGAUAAGUUGUGACAUGGUAAGAGUACUGGAAAGUGUGCUUGGACAAACCAAAGU